UCGUUCUUGUGUUAUUUGCUGAACUUGUCUUCAUCAUUCAGUGAUUGUCAAACAGAACGUAUAAAAAAUCCCAAGCCAGACUCACUCCACAAUGCAGAGUCUAUUUUAACCAAGACUUCUUCAUUACAAAUCACUGGCUACACUA